AACAAACGCUGGCGGCGUGCCUAAUACAUGCAAGUCGAACGGGGAAAGCUUUCGGGUGAGUACUAGUGGCGCACGGGUGAGGAACGCGUGGGUAAUUUUCCUUGAAGUGGGGGAUAACUAGUCGAAAGAUUAGCUAAUACCGCAUAAGACCACGAAAUCUGAGGAUUUUGAGGUAAAAGGUUUUUCGCUUCAAGAUAAGCCCGCGUAAGAUUAGCUAGUUGGUGAGGUAAUGGCUCACCAAGGCGACGAUCUUUAGCUGGUCUGAGAGGAUGAUCAGCCACACUGGAACGGAGACACGGUCCAGACUCCUACGUGAGUCAGCAGUAGGGAAUAUUGCACAAUGGAGGAAACUCUGAUGCAGCGACGCCGCGUGAGUGAUGAAGGACUUCGGUUCGUAAAGCUCUGUCGCAUGGGAAUAAUAAAUGAAGGUACCAUGCAAGAAAGGAUCGGCUAACUUCGUGCCAGCCGCCGCGGUAA
rnacentral:rRNA from 1 species